AUGCUUCAAGCUGGUAAAAAAUGUACAUGUCAACUUGGAAACAUUUGGCCGCCUUUUCAGAACCCCAGGGCACUGCUAUUAAGAGACAUUUCAGCAACUGUGUGAUCAUGGGAGGAAAAGCAAGCUUGGCAGGCACAGAAACAUUGCUGCAACGGAGUGAUCACAGGUGGAAAAGCAAGCUUAACAAUUUCGACAGUGGUGCUGUAGUUGCACAUGACACCAAAGAUAAUGUGGCCUAACAGCGGAGAUGGACAUCACCAUCGAUCUUGAGAAUAGACUCGUCCAGCGCCUUGAGUACCUAAUUGUUGGUAGAUACGUGCACUAUAUAAGACUCCGUUAUUAUUAUAUAAGACUCCGUUAUUAUUAUUAUGAUGACUCAAAUCGUCAUGCUGAUGCCACAAAACACUUGGUUAAGCAGCAUCGUCUUAAUUUAACCUGCUCAGUCCCUGGUGAUCUGCUGUUUUGAGGUCUAGUGUGAAGCUCUGUUGCAUUAACCACUUAUUUUGAACCGUAUAUUUGUAAUUUUCCAUAACAUGAACAGUCGUGAGAUUUUUCAGACAUUUGUCUGAAAUCAGACUUUUUGAAUCUAAGAGAAAGACAGUGUAGAAAGAGGUACAUCUUUCAGACCUUUCAUCCAAUUGCCAGACUCUUUUUGUUGAAGUUGACUAUAUCAUCUCUUUAUUCAAAAAAGAAAUAGAAUCCACUUCAUUUGUAUCAAGAAAUCUGUCGUAUUAUUAUUUGUUCUAUUUGUCUAUAGAAAAGGUUUUUAAUAUAUUUUAAUAAGUUUGUGAAUUGUUUUAAUUAAAGAAAUUUGAAAUGAC